CUCUGGGGAAGUCGGAAUAGGAGAGCACUCAUCUUGGGUGGGGUGGGCUUACUACUUAGAUGCUUUCAGCAGUUAU
rnacentral:tRNA from 1 species